GGCUUGCUGUAUUCUUCCAGCCUCCUGUUUGUCUACCUUGGAUUCCAGCAUCUGCAGUUCUUCUGACUCUCUGGAGAGGGAUAGGCUUGAUUGAGAAAAAAAUUAAAAUUCUACAUUGGAGGAAGGCAAAUUUUGAUAGUAUUAGGCAAGAGCUGUGAAAAGUCGAUGAGAGGUGGUUAUUUGCAGGUAAAGUGAUGGCCGGAAAAUGGGAAGCCUUUAAAAAUGAGAUGAUGAGAGUCCAGAGACAGUAUGUUCCUGUUAUGCUGAAGGCUGGUAGGUGUAUGGAAUACUGGCCGACAAGAGAAAUUGAGGUUUUGCUGAAGAAAAAGAGGGAAGCAUAUGGCAGGUACAGACAGCAGGGAUUGAGGGAAUCCCUGGAAGAGUAUAAGCACAGUAGGAGGAUACCCAAGAGGAGAAUCAGGAGGCCAAAAAGGGGACAUAAGAUAGCUUUGGCAAAUCAGUUUAAGGACAAUCCAAAGGGAUCAAACAAAGACAUGAAGGACAAAAGAGUGACUACGCAGAGACUAGGGCCUCUUAAAGAUCAAUAAGGCCACCUGUGUGGAAGCACAGUCGACGGGUGAAAUACUAAACGAGUAUUUUACAUCAGUGAUGACUGUGGGGAGGGAUACAGAAGCUGGAGAACUUGGGGAUUAAAUAGCAAUAUUUUGGAAAGUGUCCAUAUUGCAGAGGAGGAGAUGCUGGACAUAUUAAAAAUGACAAAUGUCUCCAUUUCACAUUGGCAAAUUCAAACCAGUGGAGUCCCACAGAUUUUGGGUUUGGGGUCUCAACUGUUUCCGAUUGAUGUGAAUUAUUAGAAUGAAGGGGCCUACGACACAACAGACACACACUAGACAAAGCAAUAACAGAUAGGAAAGCAGAUUUAUUAAGUGGAUGCAAAAAAAAUCUGCAGAGCGAAACAAUAUUAGUAUGUAAAAAUUGUCAACUCAGCCUAGGUUUACAGGACAGUUAGCCCAGAGCUGGAGCAGCAGCCGAGAGGCGGGGAGACACAGUCCCCUGGAGGGAAGCUCCUGCUGCUGUUGUGAUACUGUUACAGGAACAUCCGGAGAAUCUGCAGAACAGUUACGACAGGCAUCAUCACUUCAGAAAGUGAGAAGGGGCUUUGGAUUCGUGUGAACUGGUCACCUGACGAUUACUGGUUAACCCCUUCGUAUCUCAACAGAUUUAGAGCAGAGGGAAUUUAGUUCCAGUUAACCCUUUCAUAACCAUAUUGACAGAGAAGUAGAAAAUCUUCGAUCAGGUUAGGAUUAACACCGUUAGUAAAGCUAAGUGCACCUAAUUAACUAAGACCUUAUAAGGCUCAACCUCUUAAAUUUUAGAAUGGUGGGAACUUAGAUUACAGAGGAUCAGGGUAGAAAAUAUUCAGUAAUAAGUCGAGUAAUUCCAGUCUGAGGUGUUAAUUGUAAAUUAAAGACAUAUAGGGAGAGGACAACCAAGUGGAAUAUGUAGCUUGUCAUACCUGGGGAGUCAUGGAUGCUGCCAGUGUCCCAGGUGACCACAUAUGUAGGAAGUGCUCCCAGCUGCAGAAGCUAGAGCUCCAGGUUUCAGAGCUUGAACAGGGUUGGAGACACUGUGGCACACCCGUGAGGUAGAGUGUUAAGUGGAUAGCACGUUUAGAGAGGUGGUCACAUCGUGGCUCACGGGACUAGAGGGACGAAGUGAAUGGGUGACCACCAAACAGUCCAGAAAGAACAGGCAGGUAGCUCAGGAGUUCCCUGGGAUCCCAAUAACUAACCAAUAUUUGAGUUUGGAAGCUGAUGUGGAUAUUGGUACCUUGGAAGAGUGUGGUCAGAGCCAAGCUUCUGGCACUGCAAGCAGCUUGACUAAAUUGGGGAGGAGGAAGAAGAAAGGAAGAGCAAAAGUGAUAGGGGAUUCUUUAGUUAGGAGAGCAGACAGAGGUUUCUGCGUACAAAGACAUGACAUGUGAUGCUGUGCCUCCCUGGUAUCACAGUCAGGGAUGGCACUGAACAGCUUCAGGGCAUCCUGAAAGGAUAGGGUGAUGAGUUGUAGACUUUGGUACAUGUUGAUACCAAUGUGGUACCAACGAUAUGGGCAGCAUGAGGAAUGAGACCUUACAUCAAGAAUUCAGGGAGCUAGACAGUAGUUUAAAAAGCAGGACCUCAAUGGCCAAAAUCUUCAGAUGACUCACGGUGCCAUGUGUUCACGGGUACAGAAAUGGGAAAAUAGGACUGAUGUGGCUUGAGCAUUGGUGCAAGAGGCGAGGGUUUCCGCUUCCUGCAUCACUGGGACUGUUGUUAUGGAAGUGAGACAUGUCUGCAUGUGAACCACACUGGACUAACAUCCAUGCAGGUACUGUUGGAAAGAAUUUUAACUAGUCUGGCAAGGGGUGGAGGGACGCAAUGUUGAUGAAAUAGAAAUACAUCAUGCUAUAAUAAAGGAAGCAAGAGUGAGUUCAGCUGCAUCGAGUGUCAAGAGAGGCUAUGCGGAUGAUCUUAAAUGCUUGCACAAUCCUAAGGUAGUUUAUAAAUACAUUAAAGGCAAGAGCUUAACUGAGGAAAGAGUAGGGCCCAUUAGGGAACAAGGGGGCAGCCUGUGUGUGGAGCCACAGGACAUUGGAAUGGUGUCGAAUGAAUACUUCACUUCAUUCUUCACUCUGGAAAAGGAAAACAUAGAAAAGAAAUUCAGGAAAAGGGACUGUGGGGGAUUGCAAAGUCUGACAUUGGAAAUGGAGCGAUAUUGGAGCCUCCUUCGGGGUCAAAAUGAACACCACUUCUGGCCUGGCCCAGACGAAUUGCAUCCUUUUUUGCUGUGGGGUUUGAGGCAGUAAAUUGCCCUGGAUCUGAGACAAAUUUUUAACUGCUCUCUGCCCACGGGGAACAUGCCAGAAGACUGGAGGACGGACGAUGUGAUUCUACCUUUCAAGAAGGGUGUUAGAGAUGAACGAGGAAAUUACACACAGAUCUGACGCAGGGCGGCAGAGAGACAUCACUGGCGAGCAUUGACCAUGACGAAACAGCAGAUCGCGGAUGAACCCAGCGUCAAGCAAUGAUGAAGCUGAAUGGAGGUGACGCAGUUGUCAUCAGAGAAGAAGGGAAAAGUAAAUUAUCUCUUGGGUUCAAACAGUUCAAACCUGAUGACUUCCACCUUGGUUAUUCUUGGACUAGGGUGAAAAUACCAAUUUUCAACUGGCAAGCUCUACGUCACUGUGAUAGCCGUUGGGAGCGUUUUGGGGUUAUUGGAGUGGCUGGAUUUUUCCUGGAAUUGAGCAUUAAAUUCAGAAGACUGAAGUGCAGGCUCAGUGUCUACCUUUCACAGAGGCCAAGCCAUGAGAGGACAGAGGAAGGAACAUGACGUUUUGUGAUGGCAGAUAAAGAGAAAGAUGGUGAUCGGGACAAGGAGAGAGAGAGAAGGGAUAAACGAGGGAAUGAGCAUUCCAGGCCAUGUCGCAGCUGUACUUUGGAAGGAGGUUGAAGAAUUAUGCAGACAGUGAUCACACUGAAGAUGAAGAAAAACGACAAGGACAAUGCUACUGAUGAGGAUGCUGGGAAGAAGUUAAAAAUAAAGAAGCCACCAAAAAAGAAAUCGCGUUAUGAGAGAUUGUAACAGGUGACGAUGUUGUCUGCAGGCCUGGAGGCAAGUAAUACAUCAUGAUUGAUUUUCUGAUUGAUGUUAAAAAAGACAGUAAUGGAUGUCAACAUUACAAGGAAGCAGCCUUAUCAAGGAGUUCAGAUGACAUCAUGAACU